AUGCCGUCCGGAAUGAAUGGACCAGCGACACAGUAGUCUUUUCCCAUAAGGAGCACCUGCCAGUCACUCAGGUUGCGAUGAGAGACACAGGCCGACCACAUUCAGAAGCGGCUUAUGCGCUGGGGCCUCUGCUCUGCUCAGGGGACAAUUCAUUUUGGAAUUCCGCUUCCUUCAACACCGAGACCUCGUACCUUCACUUCCCUACGUUCCGUGGGGAGCUCAGCGCUGACGUGUCUUUCUUUUUUAAGACGACAGCGCCUUCUGGGGUGUUUGUAGAGAACCUGGGGAUCACAGACUUCAUCAGGCUAGAGCUGCACGGUGAGUCGCCC